rnacentral:tRNA from 1 species
GGGGACGUAAGUCAGUAGUGGAAUGAUUGCCUAACAUGUAUUAGGCCCUGGGUUCAAAACCCAGCACCACCA